UCGCCCGACGGCAAGUUUUGUCGACUGAUGUCCUCCGACCGCAUGUCCUACGGCUGCGUGUCCUCCUCACUUUCUUCCAGCACUAACUAGGAUUUGGAUGCAGUGUAAGGAGUGCAAGUUCUCGCACCCUAAUCAGGAUAUUCUCCUCAAGCAUUACCGACUUUGCCACUACCGGGGACGCUUCUGGCCACUGCCGUGCCUGUACACUGACUGCUGCUGCACUUUCAAAACAAGCGAUAUAUGCUGAGUUUUUUUGAAUCACUCAAGUGGAUCUAAAGAAGACAUUCUUCACAUCUUUGGAUGCACACGCCUCAAACCUGAUAAAGCUUUACAGAACACGUAGCGGGACACUAGGAAAGGACUUAAAGGCCCUA